rnacentral:lncRNA from 1 species
UGAGGAAUGAGGUAGUUAAAGACCAAUGGUGUUUGAGUUUAGCAAAAGUACCAAGUUAGGAUGUAAUACAAAUAGUCACUAGUAAUUAACUUGAAUUUGAAUGCUUUUGCUUUUGGUUUUUCACCACUUUUGGCUUGAAUUUCCAGUGAAUCAUCCCAUGAUUUUAAGUGUUUUUGAUAAGUGAUUUUGUGUUGAAAGUAAGCACUCAUGAAUCAAAUUCCGAUAUUUUU